AGUGAACGCUGGCGGUAGGCCUAACACAUGCAAGUCGAACGGCAGCACAGUAAGAGCUUGCUCUUACGGGUGGCGAGUGGCGGACGGGUGAGGAAUACAUCGGAAUCUACUUUUUCGUGGGGGAUAACGUAGGGAAACUUACGCUAAUACCGCAUACGACCUACGGGUGAAAGCAGGGGAUCUUCUGACCUUGCGCGAUUGAAUGAGCCGAUGUCGGAUUAGCUAGUUGGCGGGGUAAAGGCCCACCAAGGCGACGAUCCGUAGCUGGUCUGAGAGGAUGAUAAGCCACACUGGAGCUGAGACACGGUCCAGACUCCUACGGGAGGCAGCAGUGGGGAAUAUUGGACAAUGGGCGGGAGCCUGAUCCAGCCAUACCGCGUGGGUGGAGAAGGCCUUCGGGUUGUAAAGACCUUUUGUUGGGAAAGAAAAGCAGCAGGUUAAUACCCAGCUGUUCUGACGGUACCCAAAGAAUAAGCACCGGCUAACUUCGUG
rnacentral:rRNA from 1 species